GAUGAACGUUGGCGGCGUGCCUAAUACAUGCAAGUCGAGCGAACAGAUAAGGAGCUUGCUCCUUUGACGUUAGCGGCGGACGGGUGAGUAACACGUGGGUAACCUACCUAUAAGACUGGGAUAACUUCGGGAAACCGGAGCUAAUACCGGAUAAUAUUUCGAACCGCAUGGUUCGAUAGUGAAAGAUGGUUUUGCUAUCACUUAUAGAUGGACCCGCGCCGUAUUAGCUAGUUGGUAAGGUAACGGCUUACCAAGGCGACGAUACGUAGCCGACCUGAGAGGGUGAUCGGCCACACUGGAACUGAGACACGGUCCAGACUCCUACGGGAGGCAGCAGUAGGGAAUCUUCCGCAAUGGGCGAAAGCCUGACGGAGCAACGCCGCGUGAGUGAUGAAGGUCUUCGGAUCGUAAAACUCUGUUAUUAGGGAAGAACAUACGUGUAAGUAACUGUGCACGUCUUGACGGUACCUAAUCAGAAAGCCACGGCUAACUACGUG
rnacentral:rRNA from 1 species